rnacentral:rRNA from 1 species
AUGCCCGAGAUCCGUCGCCACCAGCCGCCAAGGCCGCCCCCCACGCUGCCCCUGCAGCCGUGGCGGCACAGCCACCGCCGGAGUCCCCUGGGGCCGCCGCCCCAGCAUCCCGCAUCCGCCGCGCCGUCGGACGCCCAGGGGCGCCGUCGCGCCGCAGCCGAAGGCCUCCUCGCGAGGAACGGAGGCGAGUCCGCCACCGCCGUCAGCCAAGCGAGCUUCGCUCGCCGGCCUCCUCCGGCGACGGCAGGGAGAGGAGAGGAGAGGAGAGUCGGGGGCGGCGGCGGCUAG